rnacentral:misc_RNA from 1 species
AAGUCGUAACAAGGUCUCCGUUGGUGAACCAGCGGAGGGAUCAUUAUCGAGUUUACAACUCCCAAACCCACUGAGAAUCUACCUCUGUUGCUUCGGCGAGACUGCCCCGGUGCCUUGCUGCCCGGAUCCAGGCGUCCGCCGAAGGCCCUAAACUCUUGUUUUUACUACGAGUUUUUCUGAUUGGCACAAACAAAUAAAUAAAAACUUUCAACAACGGAUCUCUUGGUUCUG